UCCGGUUUGUCACCGGCGGUCUCCCUAGAGUUCCCACCAUUACGUGCUGGCAACUAGGGACAAGGGUUGCGCUCGUUGCGGGACUUAACCCAACAUCUCACGACACGAGCUGACGACAGCCAUGCAGCACCUGUCUCACGGUUCCCGAAGGCACCCUCGCAUCUCUGCAAGGUUCCGUGGAUGUCAAGGCCAGGUAAGGUUCUGCGCGUUGCAUCGAAUUAAACCACAUACUCCACCGCUUGUGCGGGCCCCCGUCAAUUCCUUUGAGUUUCAGUCUUGCGACCGUACUCCCCAGGCGGCGAACUUAACGCGUUAGCUUCGAUACUGAAGGCCUGAUUGCCCCCAACAUCCAGUUCGCAUCGUUUAGGGCGUGGACUAC
rnacentral:misc_RNA from 1 species